UGAGGCAGCCAAAUGGCCGCGUGCCGCAAGGCAUGAGGAAAGUCCGAGCACCGCAGGGCAGGGUGCCAGCUAACGGCUGGUGGAGGCGACUCCAAGGCGAGUGCAACAGAGAGAUACCGCCGGGUUUCCCGGCAAGGGUGGAAAGGUGCGGUAAGAGCGCACCGGCGGCUUGGCAACUUGUUCGUCAUGUAAACCCCACCCGGUGCAAGAUAGAAGGGGGCGCAUGGGGCGGCCCGCUCCGCUCCCGUUAUCGCAUCAGCAGCCUGGCGACAGGUUGCGUAGAUAGAUGGCCAUUCACGACAGAACUCGGCUUACAGGCUGCGCUCAUUUA
rnacentral:RNase_P_RNA from 1 species